rnacentral:tRNA from 1 species
CAGGGAGACAACAAAAUGUUUAUUAUUAUUUUGUCACCUUAGGUCGAUCGGUAUCUCACAUUCUUCAUUCAUGGAGGAUUUCAUUUCCUAAGUUUUUCUAGGUCACACCCAUUAUUUUUCCUGGGCCAUUAGCUCAGGUGGUUAGAGCGCACCCCUGAUAAGGGUGAGGUCCCUGGUUCAAGUCCAGGAUGGCCCAUAUCUCUAUGUUGGGGGUAUAGCUCAGUUGGUAGAGCGCCUGCUUUGCAAGCAGGAUGUCAGCGGUUCGAGUCCGCUUACCUCCACUGAUUACCACCUCUUCCAUAAUUUGUAGAAGGGAAAUCUUUUGAGUUGUGAUCAAAUUCUGAACGAAUCUAGCUUCCUAAUGAAAUCAUUAAGAUGCUGGACUCAUUGAAUUAAUUUCAUUGUUUUCAGAGAACCUUGACAACUGCAUAGAUUAUUUUUAAAGACAAUAAGCAUCUUUUAAUGAUGCAGAUUUAUUAUUUGUGCGAAUGCAUUUAAAUAACAAUUCUAUUAAGCUGAUGCUUCAAUUUUUGAAGUUAUU